rnacentral:rRNA from 1 species
GACGAACGCUGGCGGCGUGCCUAAUACAUGCAAGUAGAACGCUGAAGAGAGGAGCUUGCUCUUCUUGGAUGAGUUGCGAACGGGUGAGUAACGCGUAGGUAACCUGCCUUGUAGCGGGGGAUAACUAUUGGAAACGAUAGCUAAUACCGCAUAACAAUGGAUUACCCAUGUCAUUUAUUUGAAAGGGGCAAAUGCUCCACUACAAGAUGGACCUGCGUUGUAUUAGCUAGUAGGUGAGGUAACGGCUCACCUAGGCGACGAUACAUAGCCGACCUGAGAGGGUGAUCGGCCACACUGGGACUGAGACACGGCCCAGACUCCUACAGGAGGCAGCAGUAGGGAAUCUUCGGCAAUGGGGGCAACCCUGACCGAGCAACGCCGCGUGAGGGAAGAAGGUUUUCGGAUCGUAAAGCUCUGUUGUAAGUCAAGAACGAGUGUGAGAGUGGAAAGUUCACACUGUGACGGUAGCUUACCAGAAAGGGACGGCUAACUACGUG